UGCAAGUCGAGCGGACAGAAGGGAGCUUGCUCCCGGAUGUUAGCGGCGGACGGGUGAGUAACACGUGGGUAACCUGCCUGUAAGACUGGGAUAACUCCGGGAAACCGGAGCUAAUACCGGAUAGUUCCUUGAACCGCAUGGUUCAAGGAUGAAAGACGGUUUCGGCUGUCACUUACAGAUGGACCCGCGGCGCAUUAGCUAGUUGGUGAGGUAACGGCUCACCAAGGCGACGAUGCGUAGCCGACCUGAGAGGGUGAUCGGCCACACUGGGACUGAGACACGGCCCAGACUCCUACGGGAGGCAGCAGUAGGGAAUCUUCCGCAAUGGACGAAAGUCUGACGGAGCAACGCCGCGUGAGUGAUGAAGGUUUUCGGAUCGUAAAGCUCUGUUGUUAGGGAAGAACAAGUGCAAGAGUAACUGCUUGCACCUUGACGGUACCUAACCAGAAAGCCACGGCUAACUACGUGCCAGCAGCCGCGGUAAUACGUAGGUGGCAAGCGUUGUCCGGAAUUAUUGGGCGUAAAGGGCUCGCAGGCGGUUUCUUAAGUCUGAUGUGAAAGCCCCCGGCUCAACCGGGGAGGGUCAUUGGAAACUGGGAAACUUGAGUGCAGAAGAGGAGAGUGGAAUUCCACGUGUAGCGGUGAAAUGCGUAGAGAUGUGGAGGAACACCAGUGGCGAAGGCGACUCUCUGGUCUGUAACUGACGCUGAGGAGCGAAAGCGUGGGGAGCGAACAGGAUUAGAUACCCUGGUAGUCCACGCCGUAAACGAUGAGUGCUAAGUGUUAGGGGGUUUCCGCCCCUUAGUGCUGCAGCUAACGCAUUAAGCACUCCGCCUGGGGAGUACGGUCGCAAGACUGAAACUCAAAGGAAUUGACGGGGGCCCGCACAAGCGGUGGAGCAUGUGGUUUAAUUCGAAGCAACGCGAAGAACCUUACCAGGUCUUGACAUCCUCUGACAACCCUAGAGAUAGGGCUUUCCCUUCGGGGACAGAGUGACAGGUGGUGCAUGGUUGUCGUCAGCUCGUGUCGUGAGAUGUUGGGUUAAGUCCCGCAACGAGCGCAACCCUUGAUCUUAGUUGCCAGCAUUCAGUUGGGCACUCUAAGGUGACUGCCGGUGACAAACCGGAGGAAGGUGGGGAUGACGUCAAAUCAUCAUGCCCCUUAUGACCUGGGCUACACACGUGCUACAAUGGACAGAACAAAGGGCUGCGAGACCGCAAGGUUUAGCCAAUCCCACAAAUCUGUUCUCAGUUCGGAUCGCAGUCUGCAACUCGACUGCGUGAAGCUGGAAUCGCUAGUAAUCGCGG
rnacentral:rRNA from 2 species